AAGAGUCCUACCCUUGAAGCCUAGAAGGAUGUCUGGUGUGCUGUAGGCUCAUGAACCAGUGAUGAAUACUGAAUGCGGAAGGGCGCAUGAACUCUCGGUCCCUUGCAGGGGAGGAAGCUUUCUGGGAAUGAAUCAGGAGAAAGGCCAAAGGCACCCAGAAGAUGAGGGCAGCUUACGGUAUCCCCAGCUUUGCGAAAGUUUACGUUAUGCCGCUUGACUUUUACGAAAGACCUACCUGUGUUUACUAACUGAAAGAAAUCUUAAAAGGCUUUCGCUUUUACGAAAUCGGCAACAGCAACCACAACAAAAAGGCAGAAAGUGACAGCUUUCGAGGUAUGCUCUGCCGUGAGCCAUUUCAGAGACAGCACUCCCCCCCAGCGGGGAAGAUAGUGCCACCCAGCUCCUUCACCGGGAACUGCAUUCAGCAUCACGCCUUCCAACUGCCGGGGCGCUGAACUGUAUCUGGGAACAUCUGUGGUUCAUCUCCAUUUAUUUUGUGCAUCCGUUAGCAAAAUGUGUCCUAAGGUAUCAGAGAAGCCGAAGAGAGGUUUUCUUCAGGGUCUGGAAACGCUAUUAAAAAAAAAAAAUUCUAUAUUAAUUGCUUCUUUGCUUUAUGCCAU